rnacentral:lncRNA from 1 species
AGCGAUUCAGGCAGCGAUCAGACUGGAGAGUGGAAACGUGAGUCUGACAGGGAUCACCACAGAGAAAAAGGUUCACUUGUUGGUUUUGAAGGAUGAUUUCCAAGAUUUGGGGUCAGCAUCGACCCUCCUUGUGAAGAACUGAAAGGACCACGGAACAUCUGCUGAGGGGUCGCGGAGGCGCUGAGAGGCUGCGGAGCUGUCACAGCAGGAAGUGAUCCAGGAGGGCAGAGCAGGUGUCCCGCUGCGAGUGUGGGGCUCCCUCCAGCUCCCCGAGGAGCGGUCCGUGCUUAUUAGAGGCGAUUGAUUGCACCGGGAGCAAGGAGUCGUUCCUCGUCCUCCUUGUGGGCACAGCGGGUGAUGAAUGACUCACCGACCAGCUGUCAACGAGGAGCCACCGCUAAUAAAUAGAGAUGCGUGGACCUCGUGGGCUGGCAUUAUUGCUCGCCUCUACCUAGGGGCUGCUUGACUCCGCUGGCCCCUCAUUCAUCACGGCCCUGCGGGGCGUGGCAGCCUGUGCGAGGCAGGAGGACUCUCACUCUGCCUCCUGAGCCUCCGGAGCCCUCCUCACUUCUGUUAGAACCGCCUGUAGCUGCGAGAGCUGCUCUGGCCACUGAAAUGAAGGUUUAUGACCAGGAGAAAAGACCUGCCUUGCUCCUCUCUGCAGCAGCUCUAACCUCCUCCUCGUCUCCUGCUUUAUGCCCUUUCCUAUCUGAACAAAAACCGGUGUCUUUUUCCUAAAGACAAAUAGAUGGAGAAUCUAUUUAAUUGACAUGGUGGACAGGGACCCGUCACAGCGGACCAAAAAAAAAAAAAUGCCGCAUGCUUUUCCCCAAGGGCUUUUGUGAAGUCCGAUCUGAGAUGAGUGUCCAGUGUUCGGGGAGCCACUGCCUGCCUUUUACUUCUUGUUUCCUGGGCCCAAGCUUCCUCUAAGUCAAUUUUAAUACAAUGCUAGUAACUCAGCUGAAAACAUGAGCAUUAAAUCCCAUAAUUUUACCAGGUUGGCUGUGUAAAUAACACUCCAAGCGUCUGCCAUUUAAUUGUUCAUUCGUUCACUCACUCAUUCAUUCGUAUGUCCAUCAAGCAUCCUUGAGCGCUUCUCCUUGCCCACACCAGGCCAGGCACCACCCAGGAAGCAGAGCAUUGGCCUCCCUGGAAUGAGCUGGCGCCCCUCCUCCCCAACCCCAACUUUCUCAGGUCUUUUCUUCAGAUUCCAGCGGAGGCGGCUCACCUGUCAGAAAUUAGCUGUUUAACAGAGCACGAUUUUUAAGCUUCCUAAUCCUUACUGGGUUUUUUUGUGAUGAUAACUAAGGUGCUGACCUGACCUGACGCAGAGGUCCCUGGUGGGAUGCGGGGUCUGCCACGCUUGCUCCUAUCAGGUAGGGGCAGGGAAGGCUCAUGAGUUU